GCUGACUCUCUUUUCGGACUCAGCCCGCCUGCACCCAGGUGAAAUAAACAGCCAUGUUGCUCACACAAAGCCUGUUUGGUGGUCUCUUCACAGGGACACGGAUGAAAUUUGGUGCCGUGACUCGGAUCGGGGAACCUCCCUUAGGAGAUCAAUCCCCUGUACUCCUUUUCUUUGCCCUGUGAGAAAGAUCCACCUAUGACCUCAGGUCCUCAGACCGACCAGCCCAAGGAACAUCUCACCAAUUUUAAAUCAGAUCUUCUCGGCUUAGCGGCUGAAGACUGACACUGCCCGAUCGCCUCGGAAGCCCCCUAGACCAUCACGGACGCCGAGCUUCGGUAACUCUCACAGUGGAAGAGACCUUGAAGAUUUGUUGUUCAAGGAGAAACUGAAGAGCAAGAAGGAAAGUGAGAGCCAGCAAUACCAGCAGAGCCAGAUCUGAGCUGGGAGAAGGGGAGAAAGUUUGUGAAGAGGAGAUCGGUGACCUGGGCUCCUUAUGUGCCUGAAAGAGUUUGAGUUUCCUGUUAACUCCAAAUCAACAGUAUUUUCAACAAGAAAUGUGCAAUUGAAAUCAAGUGCUGUUUAAGUGCAGCUAGGAUUUCCACAGGAAGACACUUGCAGUGAACAGAGUUAUGGAGCAGCAAAAACACAGAUCUAUUUGGAAAAAGAGAAAACAUAUGCGUUGUAUUUUGCUUCAAUUAUAAAAUACCAUCCUCUCAAAGGUGGUUCUAAAUUACAAAGGACUUUGAUUUCUAGGUAGAUUCUGGGUAGAGACUUCCUUUCAUAUUGAGGCAUUAAUGACACCUUUUAACCUGGGAAGCAAUAUGACUGGAGUUGUACUUUGAGAAGAUUAAUCAGGUUUGGUUGCAGAAUGAAAGAGAAGAUGAAGUCAAGAGAUUGGUUUAGAGGCUCUAGCAGAAGCUUAGUCAUAUUUCAAAAUGAUCAAAUAUCAAGAAAAAUUCUGAGCUGCAUAACUUGUAUAAAGUAAUUUUCAGUGAUUUUUUUCAUGGUUAUGAUAAAAGAACUGGAUUAGCAGAAACUUUUACCCUGAAUCAAGAUUUAAUUUUUCUUUGAGCUCAUCUUAAGGAUAUCGGAACAUAGGGAGCAAACGAUGGUGUGGCUGCCUCAGUGCUUGAUUUUUAACGGUUUUGAAGAGAAUAGUUACAUUUCUUCUCCUAGUAAGAACUAAUAAAUACAUUAACAGAAAUGAAUUCCCUAUCCCUUUGUACACUGGUCUAUUUCUUCAAAACAUUAAAUACUAUUGAUAAGA
rnacentral:lncRNA from 1 species